GUGAAUCAUCGAAUUUUUGAACGCAAAUUGCACUCUCUUCGGAGAGUAUGCCCGUUUGAGGGUCAGCCUAAAAAAAAAAAAUCGACAUAGUCGCUGUUUCGCGGUGACAUUCGUCGGAAAUUUUGUCAUUUUAAAACUUUGGGUUUUUAUUUGCUUAAAAUUUUCUUUACGUUUCCCCGAACGUUUCUAAUAUUUACUUCUUUUCCGUUUAAG
rnacentral:misc_RNA from 1 species